AGCUGCAGUCCAUGGCGUCACAAAGAGUCGGACACAACUUGGCAACUGAACAACAUCAACAAGAAUUUGAAGUAAGAGAAAGGAUAAAGGGAAGGAAGAGUGAAAAGAAGGUGAUAAAGGGUGUGAAGAAAUAAAGAGCAGACAAGUCAAUCAGGAGAUGAGGCGGGAAAAGAUCUGAGCACAGGGACGCUGAAGCAGGGACUGAGGAAGUAGAUGGCUCUCUGAGGAGAAUGUGGAAACUUGCACAGAUUUAUAGGCUGAGUGAAAGAAGAGAAGGAAAGCUUGAAUUUUCAAGACAAAGGAGAGGUACAAGUACAUAUUGGUCAAACCUCUUUGGAAAACUAUCUGGCAGCCUCCACCAAAACUAAAAUGUGAUAACCCAUGACCCAGCAUUUCUAUCUUAGGUCCUGAAAGACUAGCUGCAUAAGGAAGACACUCAAGAAUUAUUUGCUGAAUUUUGAGAUAAACUUCAUU